CCUACGGGAGGCAGCAGUGGGGAAUAUUGGACAAUGGGGGAAACCCUGAUCCAGCGACGCCGCGUGAGUGAAGAAGUAUUUCGGUACGUAAAGCUCUAUUAGCAGGAAAGAAAAUGACGGUACCUGUCUAAGAAGCUCCGGCUAACUACGUGCCAGCAGCCGCGGUAAUACGGAGGGGGCAAGCGUUAUCCGGAUUUACUGGGUGUAAAGGGAGCGUAGUCGGCUGCGCAGGUCUGGAGUGAAAUGUCGGGGCCCAACCCCGGACCUGCCCUGGAAACUGUGAAGCUGGAGUGCAGGAGAGGUAAGCGGAAUUCCUGGUGUAGCGGUGAAAUGCGUAGAUAUCAGGAGGAACACCGGCGGCGAAGGCGGCUUACUGGACUGUAACUGACGUUGAGGCUCGAAGGCGUGGGGAGCAAACAGGAUUAGAUACCCUAGUAGUC
rnacentral:rRNA from 1 species